UGGGGAAUAUUGCACAAUUGGGGAAACCCUGAUGCAGCGACGCCGCGUGAACGAAGAAGGUAUUCGUAUCGUAAAGUUCUGUCCUAUGGGAAGAUAAUGACAGUACCAUAGAAGAAAGCUCCGGCUAAAUACGUGCCAGCUGCCGCGGUAAUACGUAUGGAGCGAGCGUUGUCCGGAAUUAUUGGGCGUAAAGGGUACGCAGGCGGUUUAAUAAGUCGAAUGUUAAAGAUCGGGGCUCAACCCCGCAAAGCAUUGGAAACUGAUAAACUUGAGUAGUGGAGAGGAAAGUGGAAUUCCUAGUGUAGUGGUGAAAUACGUAGAUAUUAGGAGGAAUACCAGUAGCGAAGGCGACUUUCUGGACACAAACUGACGCUGAGGUACGAAAGCGUGGGGAGCAAACAGG
rnacentral:rRNA from 1 species